AUUGAACGCUGGCGGAAUGCUUUACACAUGCAAGUCGAGCGGCAGCACGGGGGCAACCCUGGUGGCGAGCGGCGAACGGGUGAGUAAUACAUCGGAACAUGCCCAGUCGUGGAGGAUAACACUUCGAAAGAAGUGCUAAUACCGCAUACGUCCUGAGGGGGAAAGCGGGGGAUCGCAAGACCUCGCGCGAUUGGAGUGGCCGAUGUCAGAUUAGCUAGUUGGUGGGGUAAAGGCCUACCAAGGCAACGAUCUGUAGCUGGUCUGAGAGGAUGAUCAGCCACACUGGGACUGAGACAAGGCCCAGACUAAUACGGGAGGCAGCAGUGGGGAAUUUUGGACAAUGGGGGCAACCCUGAUCCAGCCAUUCCGCGUGAGUGAAGAAGGCCUUCGGGUUGUAAAGCUCUUUCGGCAGGAACGAAACGGUGAGCUCUAACAUAGCUUGCUAAUGACGGUACAUGAAGAAGAAGCACCGGCUAACUACGUG
rnacentral:rRNA from 1 species